rnacentral:rRNA from 1 species
GAUGAACGCUAGCUACAGGCUUAACACAUGCAAGUCGAGGGGCAGCAUGGUCUUAGCUUGCUAAGGCCGAUGGCGACGGGCGCACGGGUGAGUAACACGUAUCCAACCUGCCGUCUACUCUUGAACAGCGUUCUGAAAGGCAGAUUAAUACAAGAUGUCAUCAUGAGUCCGCAUGUUCACAUGAUUAAAGGUAUUCCGGUAGACGAGGGGGAUGCGUUCGAUUAGAUCGUAGGCGGAGUAACAGCCCACCUAGUAUUCGAUGGAUAGGGGUUCUGUGAGGAAGGCCCCCCAGAAUGGAACCGCGACACGGACCAAAAUCCGACGGGAGGCAGCAGAGAGGAAUAUUAGUCAAUGGGCGCAGGCGUGAACCAGCCAAGUAGCGUGAAGGAGGACUGCGAUAUGGGUUGUAAACUUCUUUUAUAAAGGAAUAAAGUCGGGUACGUAUACCAGCUUGCAUGUACUUAAUGAAUAAGGCUCGGCUAACUCCGUG